UGUUUCUCAAUGCGAAAGCUGGUGAUAGUGCAGUUAUUCCGAAUGGCCACUAGAUGGCAGCAGAGGAUCAUUUAUGCGCAGGAGUCAGCUGACUGCAGGUGUCAGGGAGCACGGGGAAGUCUCUUGAAGGGACUUGUCUACCUGUCCCACGUGUUUGGGUGACAUUUGAAGAGAGUUAUCCACACGCAACUAGAAGUUUGUAACCGGGUCCUGCCUCACCAUCUCCGCCGACUGCCCCAUGAAGCUCCACAACUUCCCCAUGGACGAGCACACGUGCCCCCUGAGCUUCGGCAGCUGGUGGAUGCCUCAUCGCUGACACGGAGAGGGAUGGAGCGCCCGAGACAAAACCCGCAGGGCGGGCACGUCUUCCCACCUGUAACGUGAUGGCAGGGCACCCGCCCUCAUGGC